GACGAACGCUGGCGGCGUGCCUAAUACAUGCAAGUAGAACGCUGAAGAGAGGAGCUUGCUCUUCUUGGAUGAGUUGCGAACGGGUGAGUAACGCGUAGGUAACCUGCCUGGUAGCGGGGGAUAACUAUUGGAAACGAUAGCUGAUACCGCAUAAAAUUGAUUAUUGCAUGAUAAUUAAUUGAAAGAUGCAACUGCAUCACUACCAGAUGGACCUGCGUUGUAUUAGCUAGUUGGUGAGGUAACGGCUCACCAAGGCGACGAUACAUAGCCGACCUGAAAGGGUGAUCGGCCACACUGGGACUGAGACACGGCCCAGACUCCUACGGGAGGCAGCAGUAGGGAAUCUUCGGCAAUGGGGGGAACCCUGACCGAGCAACGCCGCGUGAGUGAAGAAGGUUUUCGGAUCGUAAAGCUCUGUUGUAAGAGAAGAACGGGUGUGAGAGUGGAAAGUUCACACUGUGACGGUAUCUUACCAGAAAGGGACGGCUAACUACGUG
rnacentral:rRNA from 1 species